GAUGAACGCUAGCUACAGGCUUAACACAUGCAAGUCGAGGGGUAACGAGAGGAAAGCUUGCUUUCCUUGUCGACGACCGGCGCACGGGUGAGUAACGCGUAUCCAACCUGCCCCCAACUAGGGAAUAACCUUGCGAAAGUAAGACUAAUACCCUAUAAUUUCCUCAGAUGUCAUCUGACGAGGAAUAAAGAUUUAUCGGUUGUGGAUGGGGAUGCGUCUGAUUAGCUUGUUGGCGGGGUAACGGCCCACCAAGGCAACGAUCAGUAGGGGUUCUGAGAGGAAGGUCCCCCACAUUGGAACUGAGACACGGUCCAAACUCCUACGGGAGGCAGCAGUGAGGAAUAUUGGUCAAUGGGCGGAAGCCUGAACCAGCCAAGUAGCGUGCAGGAUGACGGCCCUAUGGGUUGUAAACUGCUUUUAUACAGGAAUAAAGUUAGCCACGUGUGGUUAUUUGUAGGUACUGUAUGAAUAAGGACCGGCUAAUUCCGUGCCAGCCGCCGCCGUAAUAC
rnacentral:rRNA from 1 species